rnacentral:tRNA from 1 species
GCCUGGGUGGCUCAGUCAGUUGAGCGUCCGACUUUGGCUCAGGUCAUGAUCUCGUGGUUUGCGGGUUCAAGCCCCGCAUCAGGCU